rnacentral:rRNA from 1 species
UACAGAGGUGGCAAGCGUUGUUCGGAAUUACUGGGCGUAAGGGACGGCGUAGGCGGCCAUCUAAGUCAGACGUGAAAUCCCCCGGCUUAACCUGGGAACUGCGUCUGAUACUGGACGGCUUGAGUAUGGGAGAGGGAUGUAGAAUUCCAGGUGUAGCGGUGAAAUGCGUAGAUAUCUGGAGGAAUACCGGUGGCGAAGGCGGCAUCCUGGACCAUUACUGACGCUGAGGCGCGAAAGCUAGGGGAGCAAACGGG